rnacentral:rRNA from 1 species
GUGCCAGCAGCCGCGGUAAUACGAAGGGUGCAAGCGUUAUUCGGAAUCAUUGGGCGUAAAGCGCGCGCAGGCGGAUCAGCAAGUCAGGUGUGAAAUCUCGGGGCUCAACCCCGAAACUGCGCCUGAAACUGCUAGUCUAGAAUGUCGGAGGGGGCAGGGGAAUUUCACGUGUAGGGGUAAAAUCCGUAGAGAUGUGAAGGAACACCGGAGGCGAAGGCGCCUGCCUGGACGACUAUUGACGCUGAGGCGCGAAAGCGUGGGGAGCAAACAGGAUUAGAUACCCCUGUAGUCC